GUUGACCUCGAAUCAGGUAGGAAUACCCGCUGAACUUAAGCAUAUCA
rnacentral:rRNA from 2 species